rnacentral:ncRNA from 1 species
GUUGAACGCAUUUCUGCAUAGCAGAGCUCUUAGCGAUACCGCCGCAUGCUCAUGUGGCGAUCCUAACGAGGAUUGGGAGCACAUCCUUUGUGCUUGCCCCCACUAUGCAGAUUUGCGCGACCUCAAUGGACUUGGUGUGCAGCGCGUUGGCGAAACCUGGACAUUUGGACGGAUUCUGGAGGACGAGGACAGGACUCGGAGGCUGAAGGAGUUUGCUGAGGAAGUUUUCACCAGGAGAGGGAGGAACUCAUAGUUCCUUUUUUGCUCACGCCGUGUGGUUAGCGGAGAAGAAUACUGCCACAGCCCACCAUUGCUUGUCGUAGGAGGCGACUAAUAUGGCAUGGGCACUCUAUCCGGGCUUGUCGGAGCCAAAAGGGAGGGUCCACCGAACCCUGCAUUUCGGUACCACGGGUUGAGCAGUGCCUUCCAAGGCUGCUCAUUGAGUCGGCCCCCUUGUGGGAGUAUCGUGGUGGCUGUGGUUGAUACCUAUAUCGCGGGUAGAACUUUCAAGUUCGACGAAGAGUUGCGUAUAUACGACUCGGGUGCUGUGACCCUAAGAUCAGAAGAGAUUUUAGAUAGAUCUCGCUCCUCAGCAAGGGGGAGUGUUUGCCCGACAAGCACACACUCGAAUUGCUACGGGAUAGUUGCUACGUACAUAGCUGUAGCUUCUAUUUUGGGGCGUUGGUCUGGCGCUUAAUCUAGACACAUGCACUAUAUACAUGGGUAUAUAAGAGUGUCGUGGCUGUACUCCCUUCAAUGUGGAACACGCCACGUUAAAUAAAACUCGGAGGGAUCCGAUCCACACCUGUCCCUAUCUACUAUCUAGCGAAACCACAGCCAAGGGAACGGGCUUGGAAUAAUUAGCGGGGAAAGAAGACCCUUUUGAGCUUGACUCUAAUCUGGCAGUGUAAGGAGACAUAAGAGGUGUAGAAUAAGUGGGAGAUAUUAGGCUUCGGUUUGAUAUCGCCAAUGAAAUACCACUACUCUUAUUGUUUCCUUACUUACUUGAUUAAAUGGAACGUGUAUCAUUUCCUAGCCAUUAUACGGAUAUAUUUAUUAUAUCUUAUGGUAUUGGGUUUUGAUGCAAGCUU